CCAGCAAGGGAGAAAGACUGGCAUCUCAUGAAAGGAGUAGUACCUUGGCCAAAGCAGUGCUGGACAAGGUUGGGGGAGAAGACAGGGGCUCUAGCCCAUUACCUGCCAGGCUGUGACCCUGCUGAAAUGAGUUGAGAAGGGCAGCAGCAGAGAUGAUGGGCCAGACAUCGAGGAUGCUCCACAGCGGCCAAGAGCUAAUUCCUGGAGAGACCAGCAGGAGGCCCCAGUGGUGGAUUCCCAAAUACUUCACCCUUUGUUCUUUACAAAAUCUCCAAGGAAGAAAGUCUGGAAGUAACUAUGAGCAUUACCCUCCCCUGAUGGACUUGCUAGGAUUUACUCUGCCACUGACCAUUGUGCUAACUAGCUGUGAGAAAUAAAAAGGC